rnacentral:rRNA from 1 species
GAUGAACGCUGGCGGCGUGCCUAAUACAUGCAAGUCGAGCGAACGGACGAGAAGCUUGCUUCUCUGAUGUUAGCGGCGGACGGGUGAGUAACACGUGGAUAACCUACCUAUAAGACUGGGAUAACUUCGGGAAACCGGAGCUAAUACCGGAUAAUAUUUUGAACCGCAUGGUUCAAAAGUGAAAGACGGUCUUGCUGUCACUUAUAGAUGGAUACGCGCUGCAUUAGCUAGUUGGUAAGGUAACGGCUUACCAAGGCAACGAUGCAUAGCCGACCUGAGAGGGUGAUCGGCCACACUGGAACUGAGACACGGUCCAGACUCCUACGGGAGGCAGCAGUAGGGAAUCUUCCGCAAUGGGCGAAAGCCUGACGGAGCAACGCCGCGUGAGUGAUGAAGGUCUUCGGAUCGUAAAACUCUGUUAUUAGGGAAGAACAUAUGUGUAAGUAACUGUGCACAUCUUGACGGUACCUAAUCAGAAAGCCACGGCUAACUACGUG